rnacentral:rRNA from 1 species
UACGGGGGGGGCAAGCGUUGUUCGGAAUUACUGGGCGUAAAGGGCUCGUAGGCGGCCAACUAAGUCAGACGUGAAAUCCCUCGGCUUAACCGGGGAACUGCGUCCGAUACUGGAUGGCUUGAGUUUGGGAGAGGGAUGCGGAAUUCCAGGUGUAGCGGUGAAAUGCGUAGAUAUCUGGAGGAACACCGGUGGCGAAGGCGGCAUCCUGGACCAACACUGACGCUGAUGAGCGAAAGCGUGGGGAGCGAGUCCGG